GGUCAAGCGAUCAAGGGCACAGGGUGGAUGUCUAGGCACGGACUGGCGAUGAAGGACGUGGCAAGCUGCGAUAAGCCAGGGGUAGCUGCAAGCAAGCGUUAAUCCCUGGAUUUCCGAAUGGGGAAACCCGGCCGGGGUGAUGCCCGGUCAUCCCUUCGCUGAAUACAUAGGCGUUGGGAAGCGAACCGAGGGAACUGAAACAUCUAAGUACCUCGAGGAAGAGAAAACAACCGUGAUUCCCUCAGUAGCGGCGAGCGAACGGGGAAGAGCCCAAACCAUGGAGGUGUCAAGGCGGCAGCCGUUGCUUCCAUGGGGUAGCAGGGUGGUUCGUGAGAGUCUGCCGGCUCUCGGAGCGUCGCGCGACGGUGAGUCGAAUCCGUCUGGAAAGCCAAGCCACAGAGGGUGACAGCCCCGUAGGCGAAGCCGACGUCGCGAUCUCUGGACCAUUCCUGAGUAGGUCGGGACACGUGAAAUCCCGAUUGAAUCCGGCAGGACCACCUGCCAAGGCUAAAUACACGUCCGUGACCGAUAGCGAACGAGUACCGUGAGGGAAAGAUGAAAAGUACGCCGGGAGGCGGGUGAAACAGAUCCUGAAACCGUGUGCCUACAAGCGGUGGGAGCUCGACCCUCUCUUCGUGAGAGACGUCGGGUGACCGCGUGCCUUUUGCAUUAUGAUCCGGCGAGUUGUUCCUCAGUAGCGAGGUUAAGCCGUUCAGCGGCGGAGCCGAAGCGAAAGCGAGUCUUAACUGGGCGUAAAGUUGCUGGGGACAGACCCGAAACCAGAGUGAUCUAUCCAUGGCCAGGUUGAAGCGAGGGUAAUGCUUCGUGGAGGACCGAACCGUUGUGGGUUGAAAACUGCUCGGAUGAGCUGUGGAUAGGGGUGAAAGG
rnacentral:rRNA from 1 species